UACAGAGGGGGCAAGCGUUAUUCGGAAUUAUUGGGCGUAAAGGGCGCGUAGGCGGCUUGGCAAGUGGAAGGUGAAAUCCCUCGGCUUAACCGAGGAACUGCCCUCCAAACUGCUUAGCUUGAGACCGGGAGAGGUGAGUGGAAUUCCCAGUGUAGCGGUGAAAUGCGUAGAUAUCUGGAGGAACACCGGUGGCGAAGGCGGCAUCCUGGACCAACACUGACCCUGAGGAGCGAAAGCCAGGGGAGCAAACGGG
rnacentral:rRNA from 1 species